AAGUUUUUUUCGGCAUUUGAACAAGACCAGAAAGCUGUGCUUGAAUUUCUUGAAAUAG
rnacentral:sRNA from 1 species